GUCAUCGAAAUUCAUACUGGUCUCAACACGCAUGGAUGUUCCAGAUACGCAAUCAAAGAUUGCCAUAGUUUAUACAAAGGGGUAAGUAUAUGUAAAUGAAGCCAUAUGCAUGUGUGUAUC
rnacentral:ribozyme from 1 species